GACCAACCCUCAAGCUGUUUGCACAGCUUGGUUUUGGGCCGUGCCGGCAGCGGCAGGUCCUAAUCCCAGUGGCGACCCCGUCCGAUCGCGAGCGCAGUAGCAACCCUCUCGCUCCGGGAUCGCGCGGCGGUCGAGCCAAAAACCCACUUUCGCCA
rnacentral:misc_RNA from 1 species